UUGAACAGAAGAGUCAUUGACAUUUCCAUUCCCCCCAAAGCUAUGUGGGCCAUUGAUAACCCAGCCAAGAAGGGUUUUAACAGCAUAAGGUCCACUACCUACACUGUUUAUUAUUUUCCAGGGUUCUAAAGCUCUUGGAGCAUUGACACCUAUUAGUAGCCCAAUGCUAGCGUCAAUUGGUGCCAAGUCAGCCUCCUCAAGGGGCAUGAAGCUGCAUGGACAACUCCUCGGUACAAAAUGUUGCAGAGCUCCCCAGGUCUAGGAAAGCAUAUGUUUGUAUGCAUUUUUUUCCUUUCUCCAAUUUCACUUUGACAGGCACGAUUGCUAGAGCACACUCUUUUGUUCCAGCCAGUAAGGCUACUGGUUGCCAGAGAGACAACUGCAUCGGAAUCAGCAGCUUGUUUGAUUUCUUUGAUUUUCCUUUGUUUGCAUGUGCAGGAUUGUUGGAUGACUUUGUUUACACACAUUGCAAGACAUGCGCUUCUGACAACUUCUACUCAUGUGUCCUCUUUCUAAGCAUCCAAAGCACAUUCCUUUCGUUAUUUGGUUUGGUUUGAAAUGAUUCACAUACUUCCAAUGAAUGAUUUUUGUUGCAGAACAUGCAGGGCUUUGUAAAUGCACUUGAACUACUGCUUGCGGUUGGGGCUUGUUUGUUAUUAUGUGACUGCUGCAACUUUGUUUGCCCAGACAUUGACAUUGGUGAAACAGCUGUAGCAAAACUGCUCCCCCUGCUGUUAGAUUUUGAGUAAGCUUUGUGUUGCCUUUUUGAUUCUGAGGUUUUAUUCAAUGGACUUUGAAUUUCCCCAAAGAUUGGAUCCAGCAUUAUUCGAGAUUGUUUAUCAAUAAAUGCAAGUAAAUCUCUAAA